CCUGCGUCCAAAUCACCAAGCUCAGUGCCUCAGAGGACUCAAGAUACCCGCGGAACAUAGUCCUUACUCAACUUCAAAAUCGGUUGGGGAAAAUAAGACAUUAAUAGAGAACAAACAGUAUAAAUCAGUAAAAUAAUAAUAGUCAUCGCCUGACAUUGGGUGGAUUUCAUCGCUAAGAAACUGAAGUACUGGGCUGGGCAUGGUGGCUCACCCAAUAAUUUUUUUAAAAAAUGAGUUCUGUUUUAAAAAAAUAAGAAACACUGAGUUGAAUGAAGUUGGGCCUCCCUAGCUGAGUCUUUAACAUGAUAAAUGUGCAGUCUUCCAGAAUGAGAAUGAGGCUAGGAUAAGCAGGGGUUCCUACAGUGUUUGAUUACAGAAUGCUUGGUGUUAUUUAUUGUUUUUUGGUAGAGCAUCUCCCAGGACAAAUGCAGGCCUGGCUACGUAAUUUACAGGACCCAGAGCAAAAAUGCAAAUGUGGGACCCCUUGGUUUUUCUUUUUUGAGACGGAGUCUCGCUCUGUUGCCCAGGCUGGAGUGCAGUGGCGUGAUCUCGACUCACUGCAACCUCCACCUCCCAGGUUUGAGUGAUUCUCCUGCCUCAGCCUCCUGAGUAGCUGGGAUUACAGGCACCCACCAACCACGC
rnacentral:lncRNA from 10 species